GACGAACGCUGGCGGCGUGCUUAACACAUGCAAGUCGAACGCUGAAGCCCAGCUUGCUGGGUGGAUGAGUGGCGAACGGGUGAGUAACACGUGAGUAACCUGCCCCCUUCUUUGGGAUAACGCCCGGAAACGGGUGCUAAUACUGGAUAUUCACUGAUUCUCGCAUGGGGGUUGGUGGAAAGGUUUUUUCUGGUGGGGGAUGGGCUCGCGGCCUAUCGGCUUGUUGGUGGGGUGAUGGCCUACCAAGGCUUUGACGGGUAGCCGGCCUGAGAGGGUGACCGGUCACAUUGGGACUGAGAUACGGCCCAGACUCCUACGGGAGGCAGCAGUGGGGAAUAUUGCGGGAUGGGCGAAAGCGUGAUGCAGCGACGCCGCGUGAGGGAUGGAGGCCUUCGGGUUGUAAACCUCUUUCGCUCAUGGUCAAGCCGCAGCUUUGGGUUGUGGUGAGGGUAGUGGGUAAAGAAGCGCCGGCUAACUACGU
rnacentral:rRNA from 1 species